rnacentral:tmRNA from 1 species
GGGGCAGAUUUUGGAUUCGACAGGAUUCGCGAAACCCAAGGUGCAUGCCGAGGGGCGGUUGGCCUCGUAAAAAGCCGCAAAAAAAUAGUCGCAAACGACGAAAACUACGCUUUAGCAGCUUAAUAACCUGCGUAAAGCCUUCUCUCCCUAGCCUCCGCUCUUAGGACGGGGAUAAAGAGGAGUCAUCCUAAAAGAGAUCGCGUGGAUGCUUUGCUUGGAGCUGAAACGUUAAACUUAAUCAAGCUAGUCUGUUAAUGGCGUGUCUAUCCGCAGUUAGCAGGCGAAUUUAAAGAUUAGACUAAGCAUGUAGUACCGACGGUGUAGGAGUUCUGGACGGGGGUUCAAAUCCCCCCUGCUCCACCA